UUUCCAAUGUAGGAAUCACGCGAGAAGAGUUGCGUCAGAGGCAUAGUGACGUCAUAACAGACACUGAAUCUGAGACUAGGGUGGAAGCGGAGAGCCAAGCGUCAGGAAGGAGGAUAUCAGAUCGCCGGACGAAAGGACAGCAUUCUAAUCCUCAUCGUCUUCCUAAAACGGCAGUAAAGUCUACAGCGUCCAUGAACGACAAUGAGAUGUCGGCGUUUGUUAGGCCUGGUCUUCCUCCUAAUUUUCAGGAUUUCAGUCAAGCUAUUGCUAUGUUAGGCACAUCUCUGAGUAGUUCGUUAGGUCGAACAUUGCAAGAAGGUUUUAAUGAUUUUUCAUCUUUUAAUAAGUGAUAUGUGAUAGAUUGUCCAUAUGGACAAUAUCAGGCUUCUGAUGUUUUUUAGUAUACAAACAAAAUAGUUUUUUUAUCAAGACAUACUUUUUGCAUAUUAAUGUAUUGAACACAUCAUUGGUUAAUACCGGUUGGAAUGUGUGUAGUAAAUUCAUUUUUCGCAGCUUAAUUAGCUCGGUUAUGUUUUUGAAACAAUAAUACUUUAAUGCCGGUUAAAUUUUGAAAAGGGAAUUAAGAAUUAAGAAGCAGAAAUAUUUUUUUUGUAAUUUUUAAGAUGAUAGGUUGCUGUGGCAUCAACCUUAAGCAGGGAAGAAUGUAACAAGGUGAAUUGUACAUACUUUGUAUUUACUAUAUAUGUUAUUGGUUUCCUAAUGCUUAGUAUAGUAGUCGUGGAUCACAUGAUAAUCACGUGAUCUCGAAUAUUUUGUAUACGCUAUAUUAGUGUCAUUUUUACGAGUUAGUUUUAUUAACAUUUCUAAUAUAAUUCAGAUCAUCAUUGAUAUGUACUAAAAUUAAGGAAAAUGUAAAACAUUAAUUUCCGGAACCUUCCGAUCUAUUUUUGACCAAUCGGGUUGGAGCGGUCAGUUUGAAUACAAGGCCUUUGUUACUGGUCAGUACAAUAUCAGACAGCUGACAAUCAACAGGUGGAUCAAGUUUUCAAGUUUCUCCAGUAAUCUAUUCCGGAUCAAAAUAUAUAUAAUUGUUGUUGAAAUCAAUUCACAACAAGUAUGUAACGGUGAACUCCCAUCUUAACCUUACUUAGGGUGAGUUAUACUGUUGUAUUAGAUUACGUUAAAUACUAUUGUCGUAUUAUAACAUACUGUCACUCACAGGGUAUUUUAUGACAGGUAUAUAAGUUCAUAUGUAAUCUGAACGUACAUGAAAUGAAUGAGUAUAUGUAAGUGUAUGAAUAACUUGAUUAAUGUAAUUUAAUGGAUGCAAUUACAUUAUUAUCAAAAUGUUAUCAUUUACCAUUCUUUUAUUAUUUUUAUCAUGAAUAAUUGAUUUGUCAAAUAUAUUGUCUGCGAGGAACUGAAUGUUUUUCUAAUAUGUUUGCAGACAAAUGCCAGAAAACACGUGAUGGACAAUAAAUAACAUGGAAUGAAAA